AAAACGGAUAUAAAGGAAUAUCAUGGUAAAUAAAAAUAAAAAAUAAAACCCCUCCUGUCACGCUAAUUUAUCAUCAUUUUUUCUUGUCCCCUGCCUCCCAUUUAUCUUCCAUGGAAGUGAAAAUCAAUUCCAUGCUAUUGCCACUACUGCUACCUGAAUUAAACAUCACAUCAGCCAUAUCUGCGACAGGAAAUUCAGCUUCUUUAUUAUAUCGGGCAGUGGAGGGACCCGCG
rnacentral:misc_RNA from 1 species